rnacentral:rRNA from 1 species
UGAGGAAUAUUGGUCAAUGGGCGGGAGCCUGAACCAGCCAAGUCGCGUGAAGGAAGAAGGAUCUAUGGUUCUUAAACUUCUUUUGCAGGGGAAUAAAGUGCAGGACGUGUCCUGUUUUGUAUGUACCCUGAGAAUAAGGAUCGGCUAACUCCGUGCCGUCAGCCGCGGUAAUACGGAGGAUCCGAGCGUUAUCCGGAUUUAUGGGGUUGAAAGGGUGCGUAGGUGGUUUGAUAAGUCAGCGGUGAAAGUUUGCAGCUUAACUGUAAAAAUGCCGUUGAAACUGUCGGACUUGAGUGUAAAUGAAGUAGGCGGAAUGCGUGGUGUAGCCGUGAAAUGCAUAGAUAUCACGCAGAACUCCGAUUGCGAAGGCAGCUUACUAAGCUACAACUGACACUGAA